GAUGAACGCUGGCGGCGUGCCUAAUACAUGCAAGUCGAGCGAACAGACGAGGAGCUUGCUCCUCUGACGUUAGCGGCGGACGGGUGAGUAACACGUGGAUAACCUACCUAUAAGACUGGGAUAACUUCGGGAAACCGGAGCUAAUACCGGAUAAUAUAUUGAACCGCAUGGUUCAAUAGUGAAAGACGGUUUUGCUGUCACUUAUAGAUGGAUCCGCGCCGCAUUAGCUAGUUGGUAAGGUAACGGCUUACCAAGGCAACGAUGCGUAGCCGACCUGAGAGGCUGAUAGCCCACACUGGAACUGAGACACGGACCAGACUCCUACGGGAGGCAGCAGUAGGGAAUCUUCCGCAAUGGGCGAAAGCCUGACGGAGCAACGCCGCGUGAGUGAUGAAGGUCUUCGGAUCGUAAAACUCUGUUAUUAGUGAAGAACAAAUGUGUAAGUAACUAUGCACGUCUUGACGGUACCUAAUCAGAAAGCCACGGCUAACUACGUG
rnacentral:rRNA from 1 species